GAUCCAGAGAUUUCCGAAUGGGGAAACCCAGCAUGAGUUAUGUCAUGUUAUCGAUAUGUGAAUACAUAGCAUAUCAGAAGGCACACCCGGAGAACUGAAACAUCUUAGUACCCGGAGGAAGAGAAAGAAAAUUCGAUUCCCUUAGUAGCGGCGAGCGAAACGGGAAGAGCCCAAACCAACAAGCUUGCUUGUUGGGGUUGUAGGACACUCUAUACGGAGUUACAAAGGACGACAUUAGACGAAUCAUCUGGAAAGAUGAAUCAAAGAAGGUAAUAAUCCUGUAGUCGAAAAUGUUGUCUCUCUUGAGUGGAUCCUGAGUACGACGGAGCACGUGAAAUUCCGUCGGAAUCUGGGAGGACCAUCUCCUAAGGCUAAAUACUCUCUAGUGACCGAUAGUGAACCAGUACCGUGAGGGAAAGGUGAAAAGCACCCCGGAAGGGGAGUGAAAUAGAACCUGAAACCGUGUGCUUACAAGUAGUCAGAGCCCGUUAA
rnacentral:rRNA from 1 species